rnacentral:rRNA from 1 species
ACGGGUGAGUAACGCGUGGGAAUCUACCGUGCCCUGCGGAAUAGCUCCGGGAAACUGGAAUUAAUACCGCAUACGCCCUACGGGGGAAAGAUUUAUCGGGGUAUGAUGAGCCCGCGUUGGAUUAGCUAGUUGGUGGGGUAAAGGCCUACCAAGGCGACGAUCCAUAGCUGGUCUGAGAGGAUGAUCAGCCACAUUGGGACUGAGACACGGCCCAAACUCCUACGGGAGGCAGCAGUGGGGAAUAUUGGACAAUGGGCGCAAGCCUGAUCCAGCCAUGCCGCGUGAGUGAUGAAGGCCUUAGGGUUGUAAAGCUCUUUCACCGGAGAAGAUAAUGACGGUAUCCGGAGAAGAAGCCCCGGCUAACUUCGUGCCAGCAGCCGCGGUAAUACGAAGGGGGCUAGCGUUGUUCGGAAUUACUGGGCGUAAAGCGCACGUAGGCGGAUAUUUAAGUCAGGGGUGAAAUCCCAGAGCUCAACUCUGGAACUGCCUUUGAUACUGGGUAUCUUGAGUAUGGAAGAGGUAAGUGGAAUUCCGAGUAUAGAGGUGAAAUUCGUAGA